rnacentral:rRNA from 1 species
CGUAGGGUGCGAGCGUUAAUCGGAAUUACUGGGCGUAAAGCGUGCGCAGGCGGUUUUGUAAGACAGAUGUGAAAUCCCCGGGCUCAACCUGGGACCUGCAUUUGUGACUGCAAGGCUAGAGUACGGUAGAGGGGGAUGGAAUUCCGCGUGUAGCAGUGAAAUGCGUAGAUAUGCGGAGGAACACCGAUGGCGAAGGCAAUCCCCUGGACCUGUACUGACGCUCAUGCACGAAAGCGUGGGGAGCAAACAGGAUUAGAUACCCUGGUAGUCCACGCCCUAAACGAUGUCAACUGGUUGUUGGGUCUUUACUGACUCAGUAACGAAGCUAACGCGUGAAGUUGACCGCCUGGGGAGUACGGCCGCGAGGUCG